CCUGUUGGUCUGGAUUGCAGCUGGAAUUGGAAGGGAAAUGCAUUUCCAUUGAAGGAAGAAGUAUGAGAGUGAGCAGGCAGGUGUCAGCAGAGCUCAAGAGAAUAACGUCAAGUGGACGAUGACUUACGGGCAGGAGGAGGCAGAUCAGCUAGGCAGAUGUGCAGAAGUUAAGUGUGGUUUCAUGCAGAAACUUCCAAGUGGAUUCAAGAGCCAAAGACUUCAAGAAGUUGGUGUAAUUGUCACUUGGAAUGUGUUUGUAUUAAUUCAGAUCAUACCUACCAAUAAUAUGGAGGAUUCAGAGAGGAGUUCCGGAGACGUGGGUCUGAUUCCAGCUUUGCCUCCUGCUAAAUAUCUAAUCCUGGGCAAGUCAUGUAGCCUCUGGGUGUUCCAGUCGGGCCACCUUUAAAAUGGGAAUAAUUCUGUCUACUUCACUUAUCUCAUGG